rfam:Chelonia mydas contig245756, whole genome shotgun sequence.
GUGUAGUAAGAAAGGUGAGAAGGUUCGCACUCCCCUUGAUAAGGAUGGGAGAGGUCCUAGUGACCUUUACAACAUGCAUAUGGUUAAGGCAUUGCCACGUACUUUGUGGCAUCUAACCAAGUUUUUCA